UCUUUUAAGGAUCAAUGAGGAAUUUUUGGAUUAUUAAAGAGUACUUAUAUAGCAUGGCAAUACAAGAGUAUACAUGAUUCUUUUAUCUAUAUACUUCUUAAUGGAGAUAGUUUUAAUUGUAGAUUUUUGGAUUUGACAAAUUUAAAGGUUUUAAGAUUUCAAAGAGUUAAAGACUUAGGUCAUAAGUAUAAAGAUUAGAUUAAGAAAUAUGAGAUAUUUUUUAAAAAAUUAAGUAUAAUUUCAAGUGAUGAGUGUAUUUUAGGAGUUAUUGAAGAUGAUUAUAUUAAAGUUUUAGAAGAACUAA
rnacentral:lncRNA from 1 species